UUAUCCAGGUCACUCUCUUGGUUUAUUAUUUGUAUUUCUCUUUUGAUUUUUAAAAGAUCAACUGGUUUCUUUUGUAUGUCCAGUGAGACAUCCUUUUCCAUGUCAUUCUCAUAGCCUGUCAUUUGUAGAUCCACUUUCGAUGCCAUCUCUGUCCUGUCAAAUAAAACUUGUUUCUCAUCUGCCAUUUCUUCCAUAACAUCUUUUGGACACAGUCUAGCCAUAGAAGCAAACAUCACUGUUGACACUGUUGAUACUAACUUCUGAUUCCAUUUUUCAAAAGUGUCCUUCAGUAUUUUCAAUGUUAUGCUUGAAUAUUUUUCUUCUUUAGCUAAAAUCUUUAGUUCCCUCUAGCAUCCAAUUUUUAAAAUUACAUAUCUUUAUUCUGCCUUGCAAAAGUCCAAACAAAUAU